rnacentral:lncRNA from 1 species
AUAAUAUAAACAUGAGGAUGAUGACAAUGAUAUAAGAAUUCAAUAAAACAAGUUCAAGAAUUAAUUUAUCCAGGAACCAAUAACAUCCAAACUGUCAACAUGAUACUGCUUUGUAGAGUAAAAUUCAAGAAUACUUAGAAGAAUAUUUCCAUGAAAGGAUACUGGAUGAAGCGCAAAUAUCAAGGAUAUUCCACUAAUUUCAUGGAGUAUAGAAGUCAAAGUUUUAACCAACUGAGUAUAAUAAAGAAUGGAAUAACAAAAG